rnacentral:rRNA from 1 species
UACGAAGGGGGGCUAGCGUUAAUCGGAAUUACUGGGCGUAAAGCGUGCGCAGGCGGCGCGUUAAGACAGGUGUGAAAGCCCCGAGCUUAACUUGGGAAUUGCGCUUGUGACUGGCGUGCUGGAGUGUGGCAGAGGGAGGUGGAAUUCCACGUGUAGCAGUGAAAUGCGUAGAGAUGUGGAGGAACACCGAUGGCGAAGGCAGCCUCCUGGGCCAGCACUGACGCUCAUGCACGAAAGCGUGGGGAGCAAACAGG